rnacentral:tRNA from 1 species
GCGAGAGUGGUGGAAUGGUAGACACGCUAGAUUUAGGAUCUAGUGCCUUCGGGCGUGCGGGUUCAAGUCCCGCCUCUCGCACUA